GAUGAACGCUGGCGGCGUGCUUAACACAUGCAAGUCGAACGGUAAGGCCCUUUCGGGGGUACACGAGUGGCGGACGGGGGCGUAACACGGGGGUGAACUGCCCUGCACUUUGGGAUAAGCGUGGGAAACUGGGUCUAAUACCGGAAAGGACUAAGCGAUGCAUGUCGUGUGGUGGAAAGCUUUUGCGGGGUGGGGUGGGCGCGGGGCCUAAGAGCUUGUUGGUGGGGUGGUGGCCUACCGAGGCGACGACGGGUAGCCGGCCUGGGAGGGUGGCCGGCGACACGGGGACUAAGGGACGGCGCAGUGUCCAACGGGGGGCAGCAGUGGGAAAUAUUACACAGUGAGCGCGAGCGUGAUACAGCGGCGCCGCGUGGGGAAUGACGGCCUUCGGGUUAUAAACCCCUUUCAGCACAGACGAAGCGUAAGUGACGGUAUGUGCAGAAGAAGCACCGGCCAACUACGUG
rnacentral:rRNA from 1 species